UCACUGAGAGCUUCUACUUCUAAG
rnacentral:piRNA from 1 species